rnacentral:lncRNA from 1 species
CCAUUCUUUGUCACUUUUAUUCAGUAGUAGGUUUUUUUUCCUUAUUUUCAGUGCCAGACACGGCGAGGAGUGAUUACAGCCAACUGUUACUAAAACAUUUGUUUGCAACAUAUACCCCCUUUAUACCACUGACCCCAAACUGACUCAUUUUGUGUGCUUUCAUUCUUUCUUUUUUUAAUAUACCACCACCAAGACCGGGUGGAGGGGGCAAGGGUAAGAGAUGAAGGGGAGCAGUCCAGGAGGCCAGAAGAGGAGGAAUGCUACAAGCCACAGUAAGAAUGAGCUGUAUUUAAUUUAAAAAAAGGGGGAAGGGGUGUACCCCACAAAUGAUACAGUAAUGAGGAUACACAAUUAAAUCCCAUAGCAUGACUGAAGGCUUUCACUGUGUUUGACGUCAUCACAAUGGAAGGCAUAAAAAGUGGAGUAAAUCAAUGUUGAUACAGUCCAAUCUAGUCCAUUAGGCAAGAUGGUGCAAGAAGUCAUUUAAAUUAAAAGUGCCCUACCCUUACCUAAAUGGCUAGCAGACAUGGAGAACACCACAGUGAUGAAUCCACAGAGCUUUCUCCAUGUAGCUAUAACAAUGUGUUGUCGAAUGGCACACUGUCAAACACUGGAAAGGGGCGCCACAAUGGACCUCUCUCUUUUAUAGGAACGAAUGCUAGAUUCAACUAUCUCAACUAAGCAGGAAGUGGGUUCUUCUGCUAGGAAUGCCAACCCUAAUUCACUUUGUCUUGAAAUAUAUACAGAUUGUUUGUAGUAGCUACGGCAAUGAUAUUUUCCUUGGGGUGCCAGGCUGUGUGAAGGAUUUUCUUAUUGAAGUCUAGGCUGUCAACACUUAUUUCAUCUUUCUUUCGCUUGCCACUUGCACAGACUUUGCGAGGCUUCAGAACUGUGCGAGGCUUAUUGUUUUCCCGCGAUGCUUCUAGGGUUAUGUCUCGCUUUGUGUUUCUGUCAAACAUUCUGAAGAAAUUAUUGUAAGAUCCAGUCAUGACAACACUGUGAAAAUAGACAGUACACUCAGUCAAACAAGCAGAACAAGAAAUUGUUUUCAAGUAAAAUGAUUCGGCAAUUAAACCAUAGGAAGCUACUUCAAAAGCAGAUUUAAACUAAGGGACAGGGGCUGUUGACAUCAACUCAAUCACUAGAAUAAACCAGAAAUACGGUACUAAUUAACUGGGUUUUCUGCUUAUUCUUUUUAUGGCUACCAAAACUAUCAGCAAAGUUGACAGCAUCCUCAAGUAAAACUUCUUAGGAGUGCAGAAUUAUCGUUGUUAAGUAUUUUUGCAACUACAGGCUAUGUGAUCAACCAGGCCAGCCAGCUUCUCAAAGGAGCAACUAUCUGUGGAACUCACAGGUUCUAAAACAAAAGAACCCCGCAUGAAGUAGCUGUAGCUGUUCACAAGAAACCAAUGCUUUAUCUUAUGAUUUACAUUUUUUGGGCCGGGCGCAGUGGCUCACGGCCUAUAUAUAUGUAUUUUUCAAGACAGGGUUUCACUCUGUCACCCGGGUUGAAAUGUGGUGGCACAAUCACAGCUCACUGCAACCACAACCUCAACCUCCUGGGUUCAAGCAGUCCUUGCACUUCAGUCUCCUGAGUAGCUGUGACUACAGGCAUAUGCUGCCAUGUCCAGAUAAUUUUUAAAUAUUUUGUAGAGACAGGGUCUUGCUAUGUUGCCCAGGCUGUAAUAUUUUCUUAACAGAACAUCAUUUUACUUUUACCACUUAGAACAUUUUAAGCAAAUAUUUAUAAAAGUAUCAGUUUAAAGGGGUGGCAAAAUUUUUAAACUGCCCAAGACACUUCCUUGUCAGUUCUAUUUGCCACCCAUUACUGCUCGACAUUUAUUAAGUAUCCUCACAAACAAAACUUCGUAAGUUUGAAGCUCUUAAUUUGGAAAGGGUCUGCUACCGCUGCUUACCAAUGGUUCAAAUUAUUAUUGUAAAUAAGGAUUACAGGAUACUGGGGAAUUGUUCAAAGUAAUACUUACAUACAAAGGUCACCUACUGAGUACAAAUUAUUAUCUAUUUAGUAAUGUCAAUUCCCAAAGGACACUUGGCAACAACUUUAAUCAAACUCAAGGUAAUGCGUGCCCCUGAAGAUGACAAAACUGUAUUUCUUUAAAAAUGGCUUGUGUAAUUUAGAUUGACAUCCCCAUAUCAUCUGAGUUUGCGUGGUUUUAAUGUAUUAGGACACCUAGGCUGUGGCUACUUGAAACUUUAAAAAGGUAUCAUUAGGCCAGCAUUUCUGUGGUAUUCCUGCCAAAAAUGUAUAGCCUGAAUCUAAUCAUGAGGAAACAUUCUAUAAAAUAACUGGCCUGUGUUCUUCAAAAUGCCAAGGUCAUGAAAGACAAGGAGAGACUGAGGAACUGUUUCAGAAUAAAGGAGACUAACAAGAGAUGACAACUAAAUGCUGGAUACUGAACCAGACUGACUUUGUUCUGUGCCAUAAAGGACAUAGUUACAGUAACUGGUCAGUUUCAGUGGGUCUCCGGAUUAGAUGGCAGUACUGCAUCGCUGUGAAUGUUGCUUUGGAUGCUGCACUGUCACUAUGUUGGAAAGUGUUUUUGUCAGGAAAUACUCAUUCAAGAAUUUAGGGUUAUGGGCAUCACAUCUGGCGUAAAUGGAAUAAAUUCCCAUGUGGCACACAAGUUGCAUGUGAGCACAUGCGCACGUACCUAUGUGGACAAAUAUAGCUAUAAAUAAACAGAGAAUAGAACACGUGAUACAGCAAACAGCGACAGGGGAACCUGGGUCAAGGCCAGCCAAGAGUUCUUUGUGUUAUUCUAACAAAUUUUCUCUAAGUUUGAAAUAGUUAAAAAAAAAUUUUUAAUAUUAAGGAAAACAAAUCGUUUUUUUCUGAUAAUAGAACAUAAAACUGCUAAUUAUCUGCUUAAAUACAAUGAAAAACUGGUUGUAGCUGUGCGCCACACCUUAUUUCAGUAUCUCUUUACUCUUCAAAUUUGUUAAUCUUUUUUUUCUUCUUCCCUUUCCUUCUUUCUUCUUGAUGCCUCAGGUUUAGUAGUAGCACUCAAAGGCAAUGUUUGCUAUUAACAGAACUCUAGGUUUACUAGUCCUUAUGUCAAAAAUCAGAUAAUUUUAAAAGCCAGAUGAAAGAAAACAUUCUAUAAGUUCUAUUAUCCUCUGUAACACACAACACCAUGAAAUCGGAAUCAUAUUAAGCUCUGUGAUAAAACUGUUGUUGAAGUAUCUCUGAUUACUUUAAAUGUCAGUUUAAUUCCAAAAUUAUGUUUUACUACUUUCUGUUCUACUGGAACAUAGUGGCAAAUAGACAACUAAAAGACUCAAAGUAAGACUUAUUUUAUCUUUAAAUAAUGGGUAACAUUUUACUAAAAAUGAAUACGAAAAAGGAAUUACACUACGGCAAAACUGGAAAUUAUAAAAAGCAAAGGAUAACUACUACUAAAAUUUUAACCAUAUAUAUUAUGGUUAACAUCAUACAUAACAUACAUAUGAAAGACCACUUCUAUGAGGUGUUAAUGUAGCAUCUGGAAAACCUGGUGUUUCUAACAAUCCAAAUGAGUUAUCUGCCGCCUGAAUGUUUCUGCAACAGUUUAAUGGAAGAAUAACAACCAAGCUGAAGCUUCACCGUUUUAAUGGUUAGCAUGUCAGAAAUGUGAUCUGGUUCAUAAAAGAAAAAAAAUUCUAGACAUUUAAAUAAUUUAGAUUACCUAGAAUUUGUGUACUUUUAUAUUUACUAGUGAAAUACAAUGCUUUAAUUUUUUAUCUACCAGUACUGCUGUGCUAUAUCUAAAAUUACUAAAUUUAUUUCAAGGAAUCCCUAGAGACGAAGUUAGGACCUGGAAUGAAAUAGUUGUUUCUUUUCUUUAAUAAAAUUCAUAUUUGAGAGGUUUGACUUAAUUACCUGUCAGAUCCAUUCCAACAACAUUCAAAUUUGUCAAAUAUGCAGUCAUUUUCAUACAGUGAACAGAGUUUACUUCUGAGGUAUUCAUGCACCUGGGGGAAAAAUACAAAUAUACUGCACUGAAAUUAGGAAAAUGAUUUAACAAGUCCAUAUCUUUAAAAAGAAAAAAAGGGCAUAUACAGACACAUACACACACCUUUUAAACCUAUUAAUCUCAAUCUUCUCAGUAACAAUAAAGGCAUUUUGUCCUUUUACAAAACACACAAGCCCUUCAGGGAGGUACAUUUUCCUACUGGUAUGACAAAGGAAAACUCCAUUCUGGGCAUGGCACACAUAGCCUUUAUAAGCCUGAAUAAAACAUUCAGGCCAAAAACACUUGAAAAUGGCACAGUUAAGAGACUAAUAAAAGAACAUUAUAGCAAUAUCUGAAUAUCACUAUUCUUGGCUUUCAGUCCAUUAACUACUGAUAACAACACUGAAACUGUGCCUAUUUCUUUCUUAAAUACCAUUUUCUGGGCAUAAAUUUAACUGAAGCCUAUAUUUUCCAUUAUAAAUGCACAUGUAUGCAUAGCGUAACCAUGCCUUGGUUUGGUGAUAAAUUAUAUGGUUAUUCUGGGCAUAUAUUAUUAAAAAUUUGAUAGUAUCAUAUUAUACAAUGUCAAAAGCUAACAAAGCUGUGCCUGUUUUUUGAAUUAUAUAAUUCUGUAUUUACUAAUAUGUCAAAAAAGGAUAAACUAGAAAUCUCAUAUUUAAAAAGUCUGAGAAAUAUGACAUAUUUCAACAUUAAUAUUAAUUACAAACAAAAGUUCCAAAGUAUUUGUUGUAACUCAAAGGAAAAAAGGAAGUGUCUAUAUUUCACCAUCUCUUUUUAAGGAGCUACUUAAGGAGAAAUGACAGAAAUGAGAAGGUACCUUCUAAAUGCUUAGAAUUCUCUAUUCUAUAUGAAACAAUCUAAACUUAUUUUCAGUGUCUAUUUUAACUUUAAAUAUAGUGGAAUGAUUCAGGCCAUGUCUCUGUGACAUUAAGUGAAAAUCUGUAAUACAGAGGAAUAGCAACUCAUGUGGGGUUAGGAUCAAAAGUGAGCAUGUAACACAAAAAAAUCAGUAAGAAAAAAAUA